rnacentral:rRNA from 1 species
CCUACGGGUGGCAGCAGUGAGGAAUAUUGGUCAAUGGUCGGGAGACUGAACCAGCCAAGCCGCGUGAAGGAUGAAGGUACAGAGUAUCGUAAACCUCUUUUGUCAGGGAACAAAGGCGGGGACGUGUCCCCGGAUGAGUGUACCUGAAGAAAAAGCAUCGGCUAACUCCGUGCCAGCAGCCGCGGUAAUACGGAGGGUGCGAGCGUUAUUCGGGAUUAGUGGGGUUAAAGGGUGCGCAGGCGGUCUGUUAAGGCCGGCGGGAAAGCCCGGGGCUUAACCCCCGCCCCGCCGUUGAAACUGGCAGUCUCGAGUUGGAGAGAAGUAUGCGGAAUGCGCGGUGUAGCGGUGAAAUGCAUAGAUAUCGCGCAGAACUCUGAUUGCGAAGGCAGCAUGCCGGCUCCACACUGACGCUGAGGCACGAAAGCGUGGGUAUCGAACAGGAUUAGAUACCCCAGUAGUC